UCCCAAAGAGAUUCUUUCUCCAGGGUACAAAGCAUAUACUCUAGGAAUGUAGUUCCUUGGGAAAACAUCUGAUAUUCUUGAGAAUAUUGUAGGUGAGCAUAUGUGCUAUUUUUGCUCUUGUAAUUAUCAGUAUAUGC
rfam:Myotis davidii contig36800, whole genome shotgun sequence.